CAGAGGGUGCAAACGUUGUUCGGAAUUACUGGGCGUAAGGCGUGUGUAGGCGGCCUCGUAGGUCGGAUGUGAAAGCUCUCGGCUCAACCGGGAAGUGCAUUCGAAACCACAAGGCUUGAGUGUCGGAGAGGAAGGCGGAAUUGUCGGUGUAGAGGUGAAAUUCGUAGAUAUCGACAGGAACACCUGCGGCGAAAGCGGCCUUCUGGACGAACACUGACGCUGAGACACGAAAGCGUGGGGAGCAAACAGGAUU
rnacentral:rRNA from 1 species